UACAGAGGGGGCAAGCGUUGUUCGGAAUUACUGGGCGUAAAGGGCGCGUAGGCGGCCUGUUAAGUCGGACGUGAAAUCCCUCGGCUCAACCGGGGAACUGCGUCCGAUACUGGCGGGCUUGAAUUCGGGAGAGGGAUGUGGAAUUCCAGGUGUAGCGGUGAAAUGCGUAGAUAUCUGGAGGAACACCGGUGGCGAAGGCGGCAUCCUGGACCGGUAUUGACGCUGAGGCGCGAAAGCCAGGGGAGCAAACGGG
rnacentral:rRNA from 1 species